GAUCACAGUCCCAGUCGCCCACAUAGAGGUAACUCGAAAAUAUGGAUUUCAUGUGUGCACAGCCCUCACACCUCAGAGGGUCACAGUGCCACUGCCUGCCCACAGUCUGUCCUGGCAGAAAAGGAGUUAUCAGCUGGUAUUUCAAGGCAGAGGGCACAACACAGCCAAUCCAUCCAAUGCUGGAGCCUGGAGGUGAAAGCCGUAUUUAGCCAAUUUAUUUUCUUAGACUAAAUCUAUCCUUACAAGGGAACAAACCGGUUAUCAACACAUCUAUCCCUGGUGUCACGAAGGAAAC